UUCAUUUUUGCCUUCUAUUAAAAACUUUUUACUUUCUAACGAACCUUAAUCUUUUCUCAGCCUGCCUCCUCCUCCUCCUCCUCCUUCAACUCCCUUUACCUUCUUGUGUGAAUCUGUCCGUCCCGAGAUCCGGCGAGACCAUCCCGACGUCGUAACACCCGUUUGGGAGUGGGGGGACUCAUGAAGCUGGGGGCGGCAGCCCUAAGGUGGGGAGGGUUGCGCCGACACCUCCACUCCGUUUCGGCGGAAUGUGGCUGGCUAGGGUGGCCUGAACCACUGUCUGGGUUGUUUGUCGUUCAGUCGGAUUGAGGAUCUGCCUCCCUUGAGGUGCACAUGUCAUAGUGGUGGCAGAAGAGAGAGUGAGUGAAGCUGAUGUCAUCCCGACGUCGUAACACCGUUGGGCGGGGCGGGGCUCUCAUGUCAAGUCUCCCCGCGGUGCACAUGUCACAGAGGUGCAAAGAGCAUGGCCUUCUUUCCUAUCUUUUCCCCCUCCUCCUCCUCCACCCCCUCCCCCACACACACCUCCUGCUGUUAUAUCGUCACCCUCAUAAAGUAAUUGCCUAAGUCAUUUUUCAGUGAUUUCCAUUUUUGUUAACUUGUCUUAGAUAUUCAGGGUUUGAGUGUUCUAGAAUUGCCUUUUUAUUUCUGCCUAAAUCUUAAGCCAAAUGAGAUGAUGACAUUCUCUUCUUGAAAAAUAGAAAAUAACGACUUGGGCGGUUUCUUUACGAAGGUGGCGAGAUUGUAAUAGGUUUUGCACCCUCUAUUUAGGGAUGUGCACUAAUUUUCGUCUCUUCUCUUCCCCUCCUCCUCCCCUGGCUGGCCGGGGAACGGAGGAGGAGCACUAGGACGAGGAGGUGAAGGGAGGCGCAGGGAGAGACGACUCAAGCACGUGGAGGCAAGAGACAAGAAGCAGAGACGCAGGAACCGGAAGGCAGCCAGAUGGUCGAUGCUGUGAAGAGGAGGAAGAUGACUGCAGGAGGCGGUGUGUGUGUGUCCGGGAAGGAUAUGACAGCACCACCCUCACACACAGCGGGUUAAGGCCUGCAAGAGAGCCUAGUCAAUGAAGAGGAAAAGAAGACAAGAAUAAAGAAUAAAGAAGACAAGAAGAAAGAAGAAAGAAGAGACAAAACAGGAGGAGGGGAUUUUUUUUCUGUCUAUACCUGAAGUGUCAUGAAUUUACUAAGGGUGUAUUUAAGUCUGAUAUAACGCGGUGCAUUUAAAUAAGGUAUAUUUAACGGUACCAGUGUGUAGCCUACUUUUGCCUGGAGUUGGAGACGGUAAAAUGCUCUCCGACUCCUUUAUUGUGGUGCUGUGUGGUUUGUUUACUGCGGUGCGAUGUGGUUCGUUUACUGCGGUGCAGUGUGGCUCGUUAAUUAAGGUGAGGUAUGGUUCGUUUAUUGUGGUGCGGUAUGGUUCGUUUACUGUGGUGCGGUGUGGCUCGUUAAUUAAGGUGAGGUGUGGUUCAUUUAUUGUGGUGCGGUGUGGUUCGUUUAUUGUAGUGCGGUAUGGUUCGUUUACUGUGGUGCGGUGUGGCUCGUUAAUUAAGGUGAGGUGUGGUUCAUUUAUUGUGGUGCGAUGUGGCGUUGCGGGCUUUAAUUUCCCUACCACUGCACCAGACAAGGGUACGGGGGAGGGGGUGGAGUCAAAUUUUUUUAUAUCCGACUCCACACCCGUGUUAGAGAGUAAGAGUAUUGAUCGAAUAUAUUUAGGUGCUGGGGGAUACUGUGGCAUUCUUGUCGUAGCAACCCAUUCUGCUUCUGCAUAAUAACCCGUACUGCUGCAUGACGCAUAGCAACCUGUGUUUUUUUCCGCUGUUGCAACGACCCAUACUGCUGCAUGACGCAUAGCAACUCGUGUUUUUUCUGCUGCCGCAACGACCCGUACUGCUAAUGCAUAAUGACCUGUGCUGCUUCUGCUAUUGUAACAACUCUUACUGCAAUAACUUACUGCUGCUUCCAUUUAAAAACAUAUUGUUUCCGCUGCUUCUAUUUAUCACAACCACCCACACUGCUGCUGCUGCCCAGGUCUUCAAACAGUGGCUUGCUUGACGUGAAGCGUUGGCCAAGCAGGUCAAGCAUCAUGGCAGUCACUAGAGAUAAAAUUCGCCUGUGCCACUGCUGCUGGGUUGUUGCCAACUUGGCAACAACCCAACUAAUGAAUUUUCUGAUCAAAGAUCAAAGAGAGGAUUAGGCCUUCAGGGGACACCUCUUAAAUAAAAACGCGCCUGGGACUUUUACCUCAGAGGUGGUGUGGAAAAAAAGUCCAAUCACAAAAAUAAGUAUCUUAUACUCCAUGAAAGUGUCUCAGUCUUAUGAGAACACAAAGGUUGAGAGGGCUCAAACAUUCUGUUGUUUCCCGCAUAUGCUCCCAUGUUAGCAGUAAGGGUACUAAUUUCUGAUCUCUGUACAAAACAACCAAAUAAUAAGGAAAAGAAAGUUGAAUAAAAUGUUUGCCUGCAUUAUCCGUCAGCAGCGUAGACGUAACAAGGGUUGAAAAAAUGACUUAUUUAUUACAGCCGCUGGCCAACGCCUUGACCCCAGAGGCUUUGUGUUUGUCUCCGCGUCCUCCGCACUACACUGCACAGAAUCUGGCGAGCCUGGGUUGUGACAGCUAUUUCCCAAAGCCUCCAAGGAUACCAGUCAGGCUUAUGAGUGUUUUUCGUGUUGUUGGGGAAGCUCGCAAAUCUACACCUGGAAAUACUACUACCAACACAACCCAUAUGAAAGCCUUUCCUAAAACAUAAAACCUCUACCAGUGCCUUACCAGACGGAACCAAAGCUUACCAAAUACCCAAAAAUCUCUACUAUUUGUGGUUGACUCAAGGUAUUGAAUUUUCACUUGUUUUUUUACACUGAUGUUAGUGUCCCUUAUAUGUCUUGUUGGGUCUGUUAUUUGUUCUAUAUAUAAGGUAUUGAAUUUGCACUUAUUUUUUUUUAUUUUUUUUUUUUUUUUUUUUUUUUGCCUAUUGCGCCGGUAGGCAUCUUCCCGGUGGGGCCUGAUGGUCGGCCCAAGGCUUCUUCCAGGUGGGGCCUGAUGGUCGGCCCAGCCCGUUCUGGCGCAGGCGAGUGUUUAUAGUGGCGCCAUCUUGCAUUGGCUCAUGCUGCCCCCAGGAACUCGUACUUGAUUCGCUUGGACGGCUUCCUCUAGAGUCCGGGUUGAUGGGUGGUCUUCAGGACAGCAUGUGGGUAGUUUUAAGCCACUCGGCGGUGACUGAAAAAUCCGAGUGGUAGCGUGAGGAUUCGAACCCACGUCGUCCAUCACGCGGCAAAUGUGGGUCCAGUACGCUAUCACUUCGGCCACCGCCUACCCAUAUGUUGUGUCAUUGAGGGAGUGUUUGGGUCUAUCAUUUUUUUGUUUUGGAUGCCCCUUUAUGGAUCUAAAUAAUGACAUCCACCUUAAAAUAAAUGUAUGUGUCUGUGGUCAUCCCAAAGCUGAAGGUUGGCAUCUACUCCACUGGUUUUCAUAUGUUUUCUCGGACAGUUCAGAUUAUUAGCAAAUGUUUUUACCCGUCCGCUGUGAUUGGCACGGAUUUCGCCUUCACUGGUAGCCUGGUAACAUGUACUCCCAGAUCAUUCUUUGUCUCUGUGGUGGAUAGUGGAGUGCUUCCCAUGUGGUAUUGGUGUGCUGGAUAUCCCUUCACUGGUAGCCUGGUAACAUAUGUACUCCCAGAUCAUUCUUUGUCUCUGUGGUGGAUAGUGGAGUGCUUCCCAUGUGGUACUGGUGUGCUGGAUAUCCCCUCCCAAGGUGCAGGACUAUAUAUUUUUCUUCAUUGAAUUGUAGCAGCCACUUUUUGCUCCACUCCUGUAGCUUGGUGAUGUCUUCUUGUAGGAAAUCCACAGUGAAGGGUUUAAGCAAGUGAGAUUUUACCCUCCCAUGACCAGUGUACAGAAGGGACCCUGUAGUUGUUUGAAGGAAUAUUACCGGAUUGAUUAACUAGAUGGUACAUAUUAGAUUAGGGCAAAAUAUGAGAAUGGGGGCAGGAGACUGGCUUCAACUAGAGGGUAUAAUAUAGAUUGACCUUGUAUUUGUUUGAAGGAAUAUUACUGGACUUGGGAGAGAGGGUGGAGGGAGGAGGAGAAAUAUUGAUAAUAGACGAUAAUGGGAGUGAUAUAGUGAUGAUGGUGGUCAAUGUAAUAGUGAUCCUUUAUAUGGUGAUGAAGGGAAUGGUGAUGGGAAGGUGAUAGGUACUGGUGAUGAUGAUGGUUAUGGUGAUGUUAUAGUGACGGAGGGAUACUUGAAAUGAGGCAGUGAUGGUGAUGCGUUAUAAUGAUGGAGGGAGGGAUGUGGCAGGUGGCUGGAUGAGAGGUGAAGGGGGAAGGGGAGGUGAGGGGAAGAGGAGGAAGCGUGGGGGGUGAAUGGGGAGA